AGAUUGAACGCUGGCGGCAUGCCUUACACAUGCAAGUCGAACGGCAGCACGGGGGCAACCCUGGUGGCGAGUGGCGAACGGGUGAGUAAUAUAUCGGAACGUGCCCUGGAGUGGGGGAUAACGUAGCGAAAGUUACGCUAAUACCGCAUACGAUCUACGGAUGAAAGUGGGGGAUUCGCAAGAACCUCAUGCUCGUGGAGCGGCCGAUAUCUGAUUAGCUAGUUGGUAGGGUAAGAGCCUACCAAGGCAUCGAUCAGUAGCUGGUCUGAGAGGACGACCAGCCACACUGGGACUGAGACACCGGCCCAGACUCCUACGGGAGCAGCAGUGGGGAAUUUUGGACAAGUGGGCGCAAGCCUGAUCCAGCAAUGCCGCGUGAGUGAAGACGGCCUUGGUGUAAGCUUCUUUGUACGA
rnacentral:rRNA from 1 species